GUACACACUGGGUGGAAACAUCACCAGACUGUUAUACAGUACACACUGGGUGGAAACAUCACCAGACUGUUAUACAGUACACACUGGGUGGAAACAUCACCAUUCAGACUAUGAUGACUACUGAUGUCUGCAUUAACACCAGCGUGAGAUGAGGUCUGCAUGAACACCAGCGUGAGAUGAGGUCUGCAUUAACACCAGCGUGAGAUGAGGUCUGCAUUAACACCAGCGUGAGAUGAGGUCUGCAUUAACACCAGCGUGAGAUGAGGUCUGCAUUAACACCAGCGUGAGAUGAGGUCUGCAUUAACACCAGCGUGAGAUGAGGUCUGCAUUAACACCAGCGUGAGAUGAGGUCUGCAUUAACACCAGCGUGAGAUGAGGUCUGCAUUAACACCAGCGUGAGAUGAGGUCUGCAUUAACACCAGCGUGAGAUGAGGUCUGCAUUAACACCAGCGUGAGAUGAGGUCUGCAUUAACACCAGUGUGAGAUGAGGUCUGCAUUAACACCAGUGUGAGAUGAGGUCUGCAUUAACACCAGUGCCCACUGCUGGUCACAGUGAUAUAAGGACCAUCUGACAGCAUAACUUGGACAGAUUUAUCUU